rnacentral:lncRNA from 1 species
GCCAUGUGGUCAAGGAAGAACAUAUUAUGUUUAUUGGAAUGUGCUUAUGUAGUGGAUAAUCUGAUCUGUUUCAUUAAUCUAAAUAUAUAAUGACAUGGAGCAGCUGAUGUUUAACUAAUAAAGAUUUGAAUUGCAACAAAAGAUAUAAUGAUUGUUCUUAUAUCAACAUACCAAUGGCAUGAGUUUUUCCCCUGAGGUAGUAAAUAUUAUUGUUUGGAGCUGUACACACAAAUUAUUGGCAUUGAUAUUAGUUUUCAUUUCAUCACCUGAUUUAAAGCUAAAAGGAAUAUUGGUGUUGUACUGCACUUUGGACGCCAAUUAUUUUUGUAUGGAUUAUACAAUAUUUACAAUAAAAUUUCUUGUUUUUUGUUUUAGAGGAAGCUUUCAUUGAUGUGCCUUUUUUGGUUAGGUCUCGACUCUCUUGCAUUAAAUCUACUAUGCCUUUUUAGGUCUAUUAAUGGAUGCCCAGAUCUGGUAUGCUAUAUUCUCAACUUUAGUUGGAGGUAUAUAUGGCGCAUUUCAUUGGCUGGGAGAGGUCAGUGGUUCUUUUUUAUUUUUAAUCUUGAUGAUAUUAACUAUAUACAGUUUCUGCUUCAUUUAUUAUAUAACUUGAUGGUAUUCUUCACUUGUGAUUGUGAAUCUUCUAAUUCUUCACUGUCAUUUUGCAAUCAAUUUAUGUGGAUUCCUCUGUUUUGCUUAUUUCUCUCACGUUGCCGUACGUGAAUGUUCAGGGAGAUGGAUCAAUUCCUUGUUCCGUAUUUGGCUGAAUGUAACUUGGAGUUAGUUCAGAGGCCUCCAUUUUUUCUUGCUAGCAAGGUUUUCAUUAUACUUUUU